rnacentral:lncRNA from 1 species
AGCCCAUGCAGUUCUUGUACUUACAUCACCCUGUGAACAGUGGGGUCGGGGGGAGAAAAGUUACAGCUGUAAGGAUUUGUUUGGAGGCAAGAGGACCCGUUGUGGGAAUUUUGUUGACCUUAUGGUUUCAACAUUAUUUCAGAAAGAAGAGAAGUCUGCAGAAGAACAUCCAAAGAAAGCAUUCAACUCAGAAACAGACAGUUUCAAGUUGGCAUAUGGAGGGCACCAGUAUCAUGCCAGCUGUGCCAACUUCUGGAUCAACUGUGUUGAACCAAAACCUCCUGGCCUCAUCCUGCCUGAUUUGCUCUGAAAAGCUCCUCUAUGAAACACUGACCAGUUUUUUUGCUGGUUUUUUUUUCCCAUCACACCCCAUGGGGUAA